AUUGAACGCUGGCGGCAGGCCUAACACAUGCAAGUCGAGCGAGCGGCGGACGGGUGAGUAAUGGAUGGGGAUCUGCCCGAUGGAGGGGGAUAACUACGGGAAACGGUGGCUAAUACCGCAUACUAUAGGAUGAACCCAUAUGGGAUUAGGUAGUUGGUGGGGUAAAGGCUCACCAAGGCGACGAUCUCUAGCUGGUCUGAGAGGAUGACCAGCCACACUGGGACUGAGACACGGCCCAGACUCCUACGGGAGGCAGCAGUGGGGAAUAUUGCGCAAUGGGGGCAACCCUGAUACAGCCAUGCCGCGUGAAUGAAGAAGGCCUUAGGGUUGUAAAGUACUUUCGGCUGGGAGGCGUUACCUGCAGAAGAAGCACCGGCUAACUCCGUGCCAGCAGCCGCGGUAAUUC
rnacentral:rRNA from 1 species